rnacentral:rRNA from 1 species
UAGGGAAUCUUGGACAAUGGGCGAAAGCCUGAUCCAGCCAUGCCGCGUGAGUGAAGAAGGCCCUAGGGUUGUAAAGCUCUUUUGGCGGGGAAGAUAAUGACGGUACCCGCAGAAUAAGCCCCGGCUAACUUCGUGCCAGCAGCCGCGGUAAUACGAAGGGGGCUAGCGUUGUUCGGAAUUACUGGGCGUAAAGCGCACGCAGGCGGAUUGAUUAGUCAGAGGUGAAAUCCCAGGGCUCAACCUUGGAAUUGCCUUUGAUACUGUCAGUCUUGAGUCCGGGAGAGGUGAGUGGAAUUCCUAGUGUAGAGGUGAAAUUCGUAGAUAUUAGGAAGAACACCAGUGGCGAAGGCGGCUCACUGGCCCGGUACUGACGCUCAGGUGCGAAAGCGUGGGGAGCAAACAGGAUUAGAUACCCCCGUAGUCC